rnacentral:rRNA from 1 species
UCCUCCCUCUGGCGGCGUGCUUAACACAUGCAAGUCGAACGGAAAGGCCUCUUUCGGGGGGUACUCGAGUGGCGAACGGGUGAGUAACACGUGAGUAACCUGCCCUUGACUUUGGGAUAACUUCAGGAAACUGGGGCUAAUACCGGAUAGGAGCUCCUGCUGCAUGGUGGGGGUUGGAAAGUUUCGGCGGUUGGGGAUGGACUCGCGGCUUAUCAGCUUGUUGGUGGGGUAAUGGCUUACCAAGGCUUUGACGGGUAGCCGGCCUGAGAGGGUGACCGGCCACAUUGGGACUGAGAUACGGCCCAGACUCCUACGGGAGGCAGCAGUGGGGAAUAUUGCACAAUGGGUGGAAGCCUGAUGCAGCAACGCCGGGUGCGGGAUGACGGCCUUCGGGUUGUAAACCGCUUUCGCUCAUGACGAAGCUUUGUGUGACGGUAGUGGGUAAAGAAGCACCGGCUAACUACGUG